GUGCUCACUUCGGCAGCACAUAUACUACAGUUGGAACGACACAGAGAAGGUUAGCAUGGCCCCUGCACCAGGAUGACACGCAAAUGUGUGAAGUGUUCCAUAUUUUU
ensembl:snRNA U6 U6 spliceosomal RNA